GACGAACGCUGGCGGCGUGCUUAACACAUGCAAGUCGAACGGAAAGGCCCUGCUUUUGUGGGGUUCUCGAGUGGCGAACGGGUGAGUAACACGUGAGUAACCUGCCCUUGACUUUGGGAUAACUUCAGGAAACUGGGGCUAAUACCGGAUAGGAGCUCCUGCUGCAUGGUGGGGGUUGGAAAGUUUCGGCGGUUGGGGAUGGAUUCGCGGCUUAUCAGCUUGUUGGUGGGGUAGUGGCUUACCAAGGCUUUGACGGGUAGCCGGCCUGAGAGGGUGACCGGCCACAUUGGGACUGAGAUACGGCCCAGACUCCUACGGGAGGCAGCAGUGGGGAAUAUUGCACAAUGGGCGGAAGCCUGAUGCAGCAACGCCGCGUGCGGGAUGACGGCCUUCGGGUUGUAAACCGCUUUCGCCUGUGACGAAGCGUGAGUGACGGUAAUGGGUAAAGAAGCACCGGCUAACUACGUG
rnacentral:rRNA from 1 species